rnacentral:rRNA from 1 species
UACGAAGGGGGCUAGCGUUGUUCGGAAUUACUGGGCGUAAAGCGCGCGCAGGCGGCUAUCCAAGUCAGUGGUGAAAGCCCGGAGCUCAACUCCGGAACUGCCAUUGAAACUGUUUAGCUUGAGGAUGAGAGAGGUGAGUGGAAUUCCCAGUGUAGAGGUGAAAUUCGUAGAUAUUGGGAAGAACACCGGUGGCGAAGGCGGCUCACUGGCUCAUUACUGACGCUCAGGCGCCGAUAGAGUGGGGGAUCAAACAGG